AGACUUACCUAGAGUUGUAGGCUUUGCCUGCUAUCUGCUUACCCAUGUCUGUUUGAGUACCUUCGUUUCCUCGGCGGGUCCGCCCGCCGAUUGGACACAUUUAAACCCUUUGUAGUUGCAAUCAGCGUCUGAAAAACUUUAAUAGUUACAACUUUCAACAACGGAUCUCUUGGUUCUGGCAUCGAUGAAGAACGCAGCGAAAUGCGAUAAGUAGUGUGAAUUGCAGAAUUCAGUGAAUCAUCGAAUCUUUGAACGCACAUUGCGCCCCUUGGUAUUCCAUGGGGCAUGCCUGUUCGAGCGUCAUUUGUACCUUCAAGCUUUGCUUGGUGUUGGGUGUUUGUCUCGCCUCUGCGCGCAGACUCGCCUCAAAACAAUUGGCAGCCGGCGUAUUGAUUUCGGAGCGCAGUACAUCUCGCGCUUUGCACUCAUAACGACGACGUCCAAAAAGUACAUUUUUUACACUCUUGACCUCGGAUCAGGUAGGGAUACCCGCUGAACUUAAGCAUAUCAAUAAGCGGAGGAAAGAAAACCAAUACAGA
rnacentral:rRNA from 1 species